rnacentral:rRNA from 1 species
UACGAAGGGGGCUAGCGUUGCUCGGAAUUACUGGGCGUAAAGGGCGCGUAGGCGGACAGUUUAGUCAGAGGUGAAAGCCCAGGGCUCAACCUUGGAAUUGCCUUUGAUACUGGCUGUCUUGAGUUCGGGAGAGGUGAGUGGAAUGCCGAGUGUAGAGGUGAAAUUCAUAGAUAUUCGGCGGAACACCAGUGGCGAAGGCGACUCACUGGCCCGAUACUGACGCUGAGGCGCGAAAGCGUGGGGAGCAAACAGG